rnacentral:lncRNA from 1 species
CAGACUGAGGAGAAGGACAGGUGGGUCAAAUGGUGGUUCCAUUCCCAAUUUUCCAAGAAAUCUCCAUACUACUUUCCAUAUUGGCUGCACCAAUUUGCAGUUCUACCAGCAGUGUAUGAGUGUGCCUUUUCCCCCACAUCCUCGCCAACACUUAUUAUUGUUUGUAUGCAUAAUAGCUUCCAUUCUGAUUGGAGUGAGAUGAAAUCUUAGAGUGGUUUUGAUUUGCAUUUCUCUAAUUGCUAGUGAUGAUGAACAUUUUUUCAUGUAUUUGUUGAUUGAUUGUACAUCAUCUUCUGAGAAGUGUCUCUUCAGGUCCUUGGCCCAUUUAUUGAUUAGGUUAUUA